rnacentral:pre_miRNA from 1 species
ACUAUAGGUAGAUGAAACUGAACCCUGCCUGCCUGGCGUUGUGCAGAAUUUAAUGGCAAGUUACUAAGUGACCCGUAGUAACUUGCCAUUAAAUACUGCACAACGCCAGGCAGGCAGGGUUCAGUUUCAUCU